CCCUUGCAAUCCCCCAACCACAUCGACACCCCCAACACCAUUUCCCCCUCCUCCCCGUCACCUACCCAUGGCCCGUUAGGGUAGGGUUGCAGCGCCCGCCCGCCGCCGUCGCUCCCUAGCCUCGUCGGCACCAAUCCCCGCCGGCGACAUCCAAGGUCUCCUCCUCUCUGUUCGCGACCUCGUCGAGCUCGCUACAUCCGCGAAUCGACCGCCCGCACCACGGGUGCCCGUCCGCCGCCGGCGACAGUAGGCGUUCGAGCCUAGCUGCGGCGGGUGGAGCUCGUCCCCGUCGGCCACCAUCCCCUCCUCUCUGCAGAGGAUGAGCUCCACAGCCGGUUCGUCGAGCUCCAGGCGCCGGUUCGUCCAGCUCCAGCAACGACUCACGCUCCAGGUCACGCUCGAUCCCGUCUGCCGCCGUCCCUGGGGACUUCUCCGACGUCCUGCUCCAAUCUCUGCACGAAGCACCUGCAAUGGGAAUCUGAGAAAAAAAUCCCCUUACUGCUUAGCUGGCCGGCCCAGAUCUUAGUGCGUAUUACGCUGGUCCCGUAUUAUGCUGUGGUGCUGUGGAAAAUGCAGAAUGAGCAGAUGUUUUGUAAUUGUAUGCUACUGGUUAGUGCUUGUGCAUUUGUGCUCUGUUC